GAGGGUAUAGCUCAGUGGUAGAGCUCAUGCUUAGCACGCACGAGGUCCUGGGUUCAAUCCCCAGUACCUCCA
rnacentral:tRNA from 1 species